rnacentral:rRNA from 1 species
CUUGAUAACCCUUUACAUUCACUAUCCGCCCGGGUACUACGAGCAUUAGCUUAAAACCCAAAGGACCUGGCGGUGCUUUAGAUCCCCCUAGAGGAGCCUGUUCUAGAACCGAUAAUCCCCGUUAAACCUCACCCCCUCUUGCUCUUUCCGCCUAUAUACCGCCGUCGUCAGCUUACCCUACUGAACGAACCAUAGUAAGCAAAAUUAGUACAACUCAAAACGCCAGGUCGAGGUGCAGCAUAUGAGAGGGAAAGAAAUGGGCUACAUUCCCUAUUUCAGGGAAUACGGACCAUGCAAUGAAAUGUGCAUAGAAGGUGGAUUUAGCAGUAAGCAGAAAAUAGAGCG